GAGGGCAUAGCUCAAGUGGUAGAGCACAUGCUUAGCAUGCACGAGGUUCUGGGUUCAAUCCCCAGUACCUCCA
rnacentral:tRNA from 1 species